rnacentral:rRNA from 1 species
UACGGAGGGGGCUAGCGUUGUUCGGAAUUACUGGGCGUAAAGCGCACGUAGGCGGCUUUGUAAGUUAGAGGUGAAAGCCCGGGGCUCAACCCCGGAACUGCCUUUAAGACUGCAUCGCUUGAAUCCAGGAGAGGUGAGUGGAAUUCCGAGUGUAGAGGUGAAAUUCGUAGAUAUUCGGAAGAACACCAGUGGCGAAGGCGGUUCACUGGCCUGGUAUUGACGCUGAGGCGCGACAGCGUGGGGAGCAAACAGG